rnacentral:rRNA from 1 species
GACAGAGGUGCCAAGCGUUAGGCGGAAUCACUGGGCUUAAAGCGUGUGUAGGCGGAGUUCUAAGUACCUUGUGAAAUCCCACGGCUCAACCGUGGAACUGCUUGGUAUACUGGUUCUCUUGGGUCAUCUAGGGGCGAGCGGAACAAGUGGUGGAGCGGUGAAAUGCGUAGAUAUCACUUGGAACGCCAAUGGUGAAAACAGCUCGCUGGGGAUGUACCGACGCUGAGACACGAAAGCCAGGGGAGCGAACGGG